GACGAACGCUGGCGGCGUGCCUAAUACAUGCAAGUCGAGCGGACAAAGAGUAGCUUGCUCCUCGAUGUUAGCGGCGGACGGGUGAGUAACACGUGAGUAACCUGCCUUUGAGACUGGGAUAACUUCGGGAAACCGGAGCUAAUACCGGAUAAUGCUUUUUAACUCAUGUUCGGAGUCUGAAAGAUGGUUUCGUCUAUCACUGACAGAUGGGCCCGCGGCGCAUUAGCUAGUUGGUGAGGUAACGACUCACCAAGGGAACGAUGCGUAGACGACGUGAGAGGGUGAUAGGCGACCUUGGGAGUGAGACACGGACAAGACUACUGCGGGACGCCGCAGUAGGGAACCGUCUGCAAUGGACGAAAGUAUGACGGAGUAACCCCGAGUGAGUGAUGAAGGCUCUCGGAGCGUAAAACUCGGCUGUUAGGGAAGAACAAGUACCGGAGUAACUGACGGGACAUUGACGGUAACUAGUCAGAAAGCAACGGCUAACUACGUG
rnacentral:rRNA from 1 species